rnacentral:rRNA from 1 species
CCUACGGGAGGCAGCAGUGGGGAAUUUUGGACAAUGGGGGCAACCCUGAUCCAGCAAUGCCGCGUGAGUGAAGAAGGCCUUCGGGUUGUAAAGCUCUUUUGUCAGGGAAGAAACGGUGAUCUCUAAUACAGAUUACUAAUGACGGUACCUGAAGAAUAAGCACCGGCUAACUACGUGCCAGCAGCCGCGGUAAUACGUAGGGUGCAAGCGUUAAUCGGAAUUACUGGGCGUAAAGCGUGCGCAGGCGGUUAUAUAAGUCAGAUGUGAAAUCCCCGGGCUCAACCUGGGAACUGCAUUUGAGACUGUAUGGCUAGAGUGUGUCAGAGGGGGGUAGAAUUCCACGUGUAGCAGUGAAAUGCGUAGAUAUGUGGAGGAAUACCGAUGGCGAAGGCAGCCCCCUGGGAUAACACUGACGCUCAUGCACGAAAGCGUGGGGAGCAAACAGGAUUAGAUACCCUGGUAGUCCACGCCCUAAACGAUGUCUACUAGUUGUCGGGUCUUAAUUGACUUGGUAACGCAGCUAACGCGUGAGGUAGACCGCCUGGGGGUGGUACGGUCGCGAAGUAAGUUAAACGUUAACGUAAGAAGUUAGUUAGCGNGAGAGAGCGACGACGACGACGACGGAGGAGGAG